GACGAACGCUGGCGGCGUGCUUAACACAUGCAAGUCGAACGGAAAGGCCCUGCUUUUGUGGGGUGCUCGAGUGGCGAACGGGUGAGUAACACGUUAGUAACCUUCCCUUUACUUUGGGAUAACUUCAGGAAACUGGGGCUAAUACCGGAUAGGAGCUCCUGCUGCAUGGUGGGGGUUGGAAAGUUUCGGCGGUUGGGGAUGGACUCGCGGCUUAUCAGCUUGUUGGUGGGGUAGUGGCUUACCAAGGCUUUGACGGGUAGCCGGCCUGAGAGGGUGACCGGCCACAUUGGGACUGAGAUACGGCCCAGACUCCUACGGGAGGCAGCAGUGGGGAAUAUUGCACAAUGGGCGGAAGCCUGAUGCAGAAACGCCGCGUGCGGGAUGACGGCCUUCGGGUUGUAAACCGCUUUCGCCUGUGACGAAGCGUGAGUGACGGUAAUGGGUAAAGAAGCACCGGCUAACUACGUG
rnacentral:rRNA from 1 species